rnacentral:rRNA from 1 species
UACGUAGGGGGCUAGCGUUGUCCGGAAUCAUUGGGCGUAAAGCGCGUGUAGGCGGCCCGGUAAGUCCGCUGUGAAAGUCGGGGGCUCAACCCUCGGAUGCCGGUGGAUACUGUCGGGCUCGAGUCCGGAAGAGGAGUGUGGAAUUCCUGGUGUAGCGGUGAAAUGCGCAGAUAUCAGGAGGAACACCGGUGGCGAAGGCGGGUCUCUGGGCCGUAACUGACGCUGAGGAGCGAAAGCGUGGGGAGCGAACAGG